CGCGUGUGUGAAGAAGGCCUUCGGGUUGUAAAGCACUUUCAGUAGGGAGGAAGGGUUAAGUGUUAAUAGUACUUAACUUUGACGUUACCUACAGAAGAAGCACCGGCUAACUCUGUGCCAGCAGCCGCGGUAAUACAGAGGGUGCAAGCGUUAAUCGGAAUUACUGGGCGUAAAGCGCACGUAGGCGGUUGUUUAAGUUGGAUGUGAAAGCCCCGGGCUCAACCUGGGAAUUGCAUUCAAAACUGGACAACUAGAGUGUGUGAGAGGGGGGUAGAAUUCCAAGUGUAGCGGUGAAAUGCGUAGAGAUUUGGAGGAAUACCAGUGGCGAAGGCGGCCCCCUGGCACAACACUGACGCUCAGGUGCGAAAGCGUGGGGAGCAAACAGGAUUAGAUACCCUGGUAGUCCACGCCGUAAACGAUGUCUACUAGCUGUUCGUGACCUUGUGUCGUGAGUAGCGCAGCUAACGCAUUAAGUAGACCGCCUGGGGAGUACGGUCGCAAGAUUAAAACUCAAAUGAAUUGACGGGGGCCCGCACAAGCGGUGGAGCAUGUGGUUUAAUUCGACGCAACGCGAAGAACCUUACCUACUCUUGACAUCCAGAGAAGACUGCAGAGAUGCGGUUGUGCCUUCGGGAACUCUGAGACAGGUGCUGCAUGGCUGUCGUCAGCUCGUGUUGUGAAAUGUUGGGUUAAGUCCCGCAACGAGCGCAACCCUUAUCCUUAGUUGCCAGCGAUUCGGUCGGGAACUCUAGGGAGACUGCCGGUGAUAAACCGGAGGAAGGUGGGGACGACGUCAAGUCAUCAUGGCCCUUACGAGUAGGGCUACACACGUGCUACAAUGGUAUGUACAGAGGGAGGCAAGCU
rnacentral:rRNA from 1 species